rnacentral:rRNA from 1 species
UACGUAGGUGGCAAGCGUUGUCCGGAUUUACUGGGCGUAAAGAGCGCGCAGGCGGUCGGAUAAGUCGGCUGUGAAAGCCCCCGGCUCAACUGGGGAGGGUCAGUCGAUACUGUUCGACUCGAAGGCAGGAGAGGGAAGUGGAAUUCCCGGUGUAGUGGUGAAAUGCGUAGAUAUCGGGAGGAACACCAGUGGCGAAGGCGACUUCCUGGCCUGUUCUUGACGCUGAGGCGCGAAAGCUAGGGGAGCAAACGGG